rnacentral:rRNA from 1 species
AUUGAACGCUGGCGGCAGGCCUAACACAUGCAAGUCGAACGGUAGCACAGAGGAGCUUGCUCCUUGGGUGACGAGUGGCGGACGGGUGAGUAAUGUCUGGGAAACUGCCCGAUGGAGGGGGAUAACUACUGGAAACGGUAGCUAAUACCGCAUAACGUCGCAAGACCAAAGAGGGGGACCUUCGGGCCUCUUGCCAUCGGAUGUGCCCAGAUGGGAUUAGCUAGUAGGUGGGGUAACGGCUCACCAAGGCGACGAUCCCUAGCUGGUCUGAGAGGAUGACCAGCCACACUGGAACUGAGACACGGUCCAGACUCCUACGGGAGGCAGCAGUGGGGAAUAUUGCACAAUGGGCGCAAGCCUGAUGCAGCCAUGCCGCGUGUAUGAAGAAGGCCUUCGGGUUGUAAAGUACUUUCAGCGAGGAGGAAGGUGUUGUGGUUAAUAACCGCAGCAAUUGACGUUACUCGCAGAAGAAGCACCGGCUAACUCCGUGCCAGCCGCCGCCGUAA